GUUCUCGCUUCAGCAGCACAUAUACUAAAAUCGGAAGGGUGCAGAGAAGAUCAGCAUGGCUUCUGGGUAAGAAUGGCAUGCAAACUCAUGAGGUGUUCCACACUUUG